rnacentral:tRNA from 1 species
UUAAUUGAAACCAAAAAGAGGUGAGUUAUUGUUAAUAAUUUUAUUGAAUUUUAAAUUCCAAUUAAU